AUUUCGCAGAUGAGUCCUAAAUAAGACGAAACGCGCGUCCUGGAU
rnacentral:hammerhead_ribozyme from 1 species